AUUGAACGCUGGCGGCAGGCUUAACACAUGCAAGUCGAGCGAGCGGCGGACGGGAGAGUAAUGUCUGGGAAACUGCCUGAUGGAGGGGGAUAACUACUGGAAACGGUAGCUAAUACCGCAUACCAUCGGAUGUGCCCAGAUGGGAUUGGCUAGUAGGGGGGGGAAAGGCUCACCUAGGCGACGAACCCUAGCUGGCCUGAGAGGAUGACCAGCCACACUGGACCUGAGACACGGUCCAGACUCCUACGGGAGGCAGCGGUGGGGAAUAUUGCACAAUGGGCGCAGGCCUGAUGCAGCCAUGCCGCGGGGAUGAAGAAGGCCUUCGGGUUGUAAAGUACUUUCAGCGGGGAGGCGUUACCCGCAGAAGAAGCGCCGGCUAACUCCGUGCCAGCAGCCGCGGUAAUUC
rnacentral:rRNA from 1 species